GCCAGGUUGGCACUUUGCGAGAAAUAAGUGGGUUUUGGGUUGCAGUUUGGGCCCUCGGUCUCUGGCUAACCCUUCUACAACUGAUCCGAUUUCCCCUGUAAAAAUACCAAACCAUUUUAUAUGUAGCGGGAACUACACAGAAUCAUAGAAUUGGAAGGGUCAACUAGUCCAACCCCCCUGCAAUGCAGGAAUCUCCACAAAAGCAUCCAUGAAAUAGGGCCUCUCAGGGGAGCCUGUGAGCCUGGAGUGAAUCCUCUUCCUUUCUUAAAAUAUUGUGUAGUUUUGUUUUGUUUUUAUUUCCAAAGGAAAAAGCUAUUUGUUUUUGCAGGCACUUUCUGGGACUUGAAUCUGUAUUCAUAAACAGUUAUUUUGCAGCAAAAGGAGGAUCUUACGCUCUGUUACUUUUUCAUCUCUGAAUGUAGUCUAGGAGGAGGUGCAAGCCCUGAAUGUGUGCUGCAACAGCAAGAAGGAUGCUGGAGGAGGAAGCAGGAAGGGUGCGGGGUGAGUUCGGAUUCUGAGAGGUGCCCAGCAGGGCUCGUAGGGCAAUUGUAGUGGCUUGGAAGGUCAGGAGGUAAAGACAAAUACAGUCAAGUGGUGAUACAAUUGAAUGAGUGGUUUAUCCAGUCAUUAAAAAAACAACAACAUUCUCUUAGGUUGCUUUUGGUUUAGUAUUUAACUUGCAAGUUAUCUGUUUGCAUGCGUAUCCCGCUGAACAGGAGUACCCCUCCUGAGGGCCAGGGACCCCACAGCAGCCCUCCCUCGCCUCUGCAAGUCUGGUUUUAUUUUUCUUCAUUCAGCUGCCGGACAACCCAGCAGCCUGGCCCGUUUGCCAGCUGAUGUCACAAAGUGCUGCUUUGCAAGCAAGCCUUAUAAUGCCCUGCAAGGGGGAUGCCUGUCAGAGGACAGUGAGACUUGGUAGAGAAAGAUGGAUUCUCCAGGUAGGAGGCCUAGAGGAGAUGAGUGGCAAUAUUAUUAUUGUGAGGUGAUGCUAUUACAAUUCCAAAGGGAGGGAGGGGGAAGAGAGAGAGUGGAAUUCUGGUGGAGACGGAAGCUGGAAGGAGGCUUGGAAAGGGAGUUUGAAGGGGGGGCAGGUGAGAGUCGGUUGAGAGCGGUGGGUUCUAGAAGGGGGGCCGAGGGGGGCUGAAGCUGAGCUGGACUCAGCCGCAAGCUCAGCAGCACCGCCGCCAUCGCUCUGAGCAUGUGGCCGUUCAGUGCUGAGAGAAGGGGGUCUCUCCCAACUUGGCGGCAAGAGGAUUCCAUUAAUUCAGGUGAGCCAUGGAGCCAGGGCUUGGCUUUGGAGUAUUCAGGAAAGGCGCCUAGCAGGCUUCAGCUUGCAUGGGGCAGGAGCCUGGUGAAAUUACUUCCAAAUUAUUUCUUUGUGCCAUCGCUGCGCGUGAUACCUGAUCAAAAGGUCCCUGCCCCAAGGGGCUUACAAUCUUUAAUAGGGCACAUGGAGGGAACAGGGAAAGGUUGAGGUCCAGGCUGGAUCCUGAGUCUAGGUCUCUGAGUUUAGACUUUGGAAUUCCCGGACAUUUCCCACCUGUAACCUCUUCCUCUGUUUUUUAUUUUCCUUUCUGUCUCCUAGGACAAAAAAGGCUCCUGAGACGCCAAAACAUGAAGGAGGCUGGUGUGCCACUGAAUCAACCAUUGGAGUUUGUGGUAAUUCCAUGGGGAAUCCAUUCCCCACAUGUGCAGGGAGGUCAUGGCGCUGACCUGAGUGAAACAGGGCUGGGUUGGGGGUUGCAAUCCCAUCUCACCCCAGCCCCUUGCUCCCCUCCGUCCAAGCCAGGGGUCAGGUGCCCAGGCAGGAGCAGGCUGGCAGCCUGUGGUGACGUGGGCAUGGGCAGCCUGGCAUGGGUGCUUGUUCUGCCCCCCUAGAGAGUACAAUGUCCUUCUUCCUUUGCAGGGCCGUGGUUUGGGGAACCAGCAGCAGCCCAGCGGUGCAGGGAAACCCAGCAAAAUCCGGAGGUAUGUUGUGACCUUGUGUGGCAGGGGAAGUGUUUCCCAGUGAUCUUGGGGGUGGAGGAGGAAGGCCUGAUUUAGAGAUCCCUAUAGUUUUAUGGAGAGGGUUUCUCUGUGGUCCAGGCAGGGCCCUAGCUAGGGGGUGAUGAGGUGGGCCCCCGCCAGGGGCGCAGGUGAGGGGUGGGGCACAAAAUUGCCUCAAAAAGAUGUCCAGAAAUAUGUCUAAGUAUAUAGAUGAUAAUAAUAAAUAUUAUCAUCUAUAUAUUUAUCUGGAACUCCUCCAAGCAAUCAGUCAAGAGGUGAUACAAUU